ensembl:lncRNA
CGGUGGGCGGCCAUUUAUGAGCUGCUAACAUGAAUGAAACAAGGUUUUAGAACGGAGUAGGUAACAGAGGAUUUGUGUGAGCCGCGCUCGAGGGCCUCCGGGACGGGAACACUGCCGCAGAUUGUGCUCGGGCUCUGAAUGGCGGAGUCGUCACCCUCUAACUCCUCCGCUCGCCGCGCGGCCUCGUUGUUGAGCAGCGCCUGAAGGACCCAUACGGGAAUGAGGGACCACGCCACCAAUUUCAUGAAUGGGCACCAGGACCCCCCCCCCCACCCCCACCCCUCUCUCAAAACAAAUGGGAGGGAAGAAGAAAACAAGAUUAUCUGCCGAUGACUUUUGGGCUUCUGAUUCUCGUCUUUAGUUCUAAAUAAUUGGCAAAGCUGCUGAAAAAUAAAACACUCUGUGCAUUUGGGCGAGUGAUGCUUACUUCCUAAGGUUUGUCAAAGACCAUCACAAACUGCUCACAGGUUGAGUUUGCACCACCGACACUCAUUUAUCCCAAAACGUCCCCCGAUCGUCACUGUCGAAUACAGAGUCCAGAUGACGUAACAAAAAAACAGCAAAAAAAAAAAAGUUAAAAGGGCUGCUACAGAAAACGCCGGAGUUUAUGUCCGUUUACGUCCCUUCAUCCCGUCACUGUCACCUCUCGGCUGCACAUUCCAGCCGUCCCGCUCUUAUCUUUAUUGGCUGAGGACGGGCAGAAUUACAGCAGUUAGAGGGACCGUUUCUGCAGCUUUCGAGACACAGAUGUCCACGGAGACCAGAGACGACGACCACUUAUCAAUGGCCACAUGACAGGAGAGGAUGAAAUAUACGCGAGGGACAGAAGAAAGACGCCUCUGAUAGGGUGGAGAACUUUCAGAUAAUGAGAGUGGAAAGUGAGAGAAUAACUGGGGGGGGGAAAUAGCUCGUAGUAAAAGUAAACGGUCUGUUAAAGCUCCCCAAAUGACAAACAAUAAACCGCCUCGUCUUAAAAGUCUCUACUCGAGUCGAGAGGAGUCCGCUCACAGAACGUUUACACAAAUAAAGGCCGUUGCUCUGUCGGUACUCGGGACAUUAAGGAUGAAUCCAGCUCUCAGUAUCUCAGAUAGCAUUUAUCUGUGUAGUGACAAAA